rnacentral:misc_RNA from 1 species
CAUAAUGUGCCUGCACUACCAUUUUAAUUAGAUAGUCAGCCCUGUAAUCUAUAUAUGAAGCGUGAAAACUCGUAUAAGCUAGGUUCUCAUUGUUUGCGGAAUGAAGUUACAAGAGUUUAUAUUUUUAAUCUCCAUAUAGACAUUUAGUUACUAAAUUAUUAGAAAAAUGAUAUAAAGUUAGCAAUUUUAUGUUAAAAAUUAAAUUAUUGAAAUAGUAAAAUUAUUCCUUUUUUUUUUUCCUUAUGCUUAUGGAUAUUUUAAACUAACUCAUGUGUUAAUUGAAAUUAAAUUUUCAUCUCAUUAAGUCGAAGAGUACAUUUCCACAUUUGAUCUGUGUAUUUAAAAAUUACCUUUUAGAUACUAGUACUAAAAUUUAAACAAAUCAGCUUGUCAACUGAGCUAACCUGAUUUUGAAACAUAUGAAAAUCCAUCGAAAAGUUUUGUUCUAUUUUCUUGACCAUUUUUCCAAAUGCACCAGUGCUUAAUUACGACACAAAAAGAAGGUUAAUAAACUUGUAAAUUACCUUGAUGAGCUGUCCCUUGAUAG